AGGUCCUAUGGCAGAAUUAUACGCAGGAAGAUGCCACUUGGGAACUGAAAUCAAGCUUCAGGGCCUGAUACCCCUAGCUGUUCAACUGAGUGAGAAAGUGCCAAUUUGAGGACUAAAUUUUCUUAAGGGAAGAGAGUUGUAAUACCAAUUUGAGGGACUAAUUUGAGGACUCGAGAUAAAUUUUUUCUCUCCAAUUUUUAAUUUAAAAUAUUUGAUUAUUUUAUUUUAUUUUUAUUUAAAUAAAAUUUUGAGAAAAAAUGAAUUAGAAACGAGAUUAAAAAUAAUUUUAGAAAAAACGAGGUAACAAUUUGGGUUAUGAGGGUAUUUUUAAAAGAAAAAAUAGAAAGAGAUUGUCAAAGUACAAAUAGAGAAAGUUCAAUUAUGUAGGACUGCUCAGUCAGCACCCUCGACGAACUGGAGCGCGCCUCGUGGUAAGGUGCUGUGAUAUCGGUGCCAUGUGGGAGGCCACGCUAGCAAUCUGUGUGCCCCACGAUCGGACCGCCCAGGUUUAAUCCCGCGCACGUGGGCGACUGGAUCUGUUUCCCCCUUAGGCACGAUCAAAAGGUUGAGAUUAAUCGCAAUGAACGGUUCAGAUUUGUUUCUUUUUUAGGUGCGAUCAGACAGAUGAGAUCGAUCAUGAUGGUAAUCUAAAUCAACGCGGAGUGGUUAUAAAUACUUCACAUAACACGGGAACCUAAACCCUACCGCCAACCCCCGCGAGAGAAGAAGAAUCAUACGAGAAAGAAAGAGAUUGACCAC
rnacentral:lncRNA from 1 species